CCUUCCUGGCCCCCUGCUCCUCCCUGUGGCAGAGGUGAACUCCAGUUAUUUAAAUGCAGACAAGACCACAGGGGGAAACAGGAUGAUAUGAGUAUUCUACGACUUGAGGAAAUAUUUCAGCGUGCACGAGGCCUCACCCUCUGUACCCACGUCUGCGGCAAAUGUUUACUUGAAGGCUGACACUCACUUUUAUCUCGAAGAACACGAAAAAUACUUGCAGACCAGCAAACCUGACUCUGAAAAUAGUUCAUUCCGGAAGGACCUCUUGAAAUACAGAGUUUCUCAUAAGCAGCCUGGUUUCAGGGAAUCUGAAAGAAGGCAGAUCCUGUCCUGGCGUCAGAACAGGGUUGUGCAAUCCAUGUCCCAGACUUGCACUGCAGCAGCUCUGCAGGCAGGGCAGGGUGCGCCCUCAGGAGCUGCCUGUGCGGGGAAUUCUGGGAGAAAUGCAACUCCAGCAAGGGCCCUGCUCAGAAUGAAAGCGCAAGGACGUGGCCUCGCAUGGACUGCUUCUCCGUGGAGAGUCCCUUGAGAGAGCUCGCGGUGUUGACCUUUACUCCAGGGGAAACGGAUUUCAUCAGUAGCCAUUUGAUAAGUUUCGGUAAAGCUUUUCAUAAGCUCUCUAGAAACACAGUGAAUGACUCUAACAACUGAGUAACAAAGCCUUUGCCAAGAUGGAUGGUUUCCAACUCUACUUCCAGCAAAACAGAAGGAAAGAAUCAAGUGGAGACAGCUGGGUGACACAGAAAUGGCUUUGAGAGAUCGCUGUGCAGUUCUCAAUGCAGGACCUGAGAAUAAGCUCAAAUAACUACACGGAAGCUCUGUUUGGUUCUAUUUAUAUCUAACCGCAGUUCCUCUCUUCUCUGUAUGCAUUUUGUGGAAUACUGUUUUUCCUAACUAUAAAUAACAUUCAUCCGCGAACUAAUUUUUUUAAUUUUGUACCAGGGAUGGAACUUGGGUCCUUGUGCUUGCGCAGCAGGCGGCGAAACCACUGAGCUAAAUCCCUGGCUGAACUAAUUUUUUAAAACUUCUUAAAUCUUAUUGAAAAAUGCAUUUAUAAUAGUUUUAUUCUUUUUCAUAUUCAUCAAAUAUAUUUUUUCUUUUUUCUUUUUGGUACUGGGGAUCGAACUUGGGUCCUUGUGCUUGCGUAGCAGGCAGCAAAACCACUGAGCUAAAUCCCCGGCCUGAUUUUUUUCUUUUAAAUUAGUUAUGAAUGAAUAAUGUUUGUAUAAUUUAGCUUUUAAUACUGCCUAUCAUCAGAAGAGGUAAAAAUAAUUUCUCUAUAUAUGUUUUUAUUGUAUAAAAUAUGAUAAAAACUGCGAAGCAUACAAACCAUUUUCUAUUAGGAGGAUAUCCCAUGCAGGAAGUAGAAUGGGAAUAAAUAUUUAAUGAGAUAAAGGAAUACAAGAAAAUCUCUAAUUGUUGAAAAGGAACUUGUAUUUUUAGUAUGCAUUUAUCAAUUUUUUAUUAGCACAUGUUAGCAGUGUACAGUGAUUGCAUUCACUGUGAGUUGUGCCAUAUUUUAAAAUUCUAUUUGGGGGUAGGUGUGUAAAAAGGUCAAACAUUAAGUGUUUGUGGGGAGAAGACUGAACAUUCGGGAGCCCUAAUGAGUGCAUUGAACCCUUGGAAAAGAGGAAAAGAUACUGAAAGGAAAUGCAAGAAGGAGGAGGCCUGUAAAUCAGGCAUUUGCCCUCUCUGUCUGGACAGCAGCAAGCCUGUCUCCGGGACGGUUUCCUGAGGCCCUCGGGCAGGAAAAGCGAGAUAAACUGUCGCCUUUAUAACCUUAUGCUGAGUUUCAGUUUUCCCAGAUAAGAGUGGGCAGGAAAUUGAGUAACAGCUUCACCUGCUACAAGUGCUGGAGAUACACACCCAUGAAGGCAGCGCCUUACGAUGCACUGAGAGCUGCUCUCCUGUCAUAUUAGUUUUGGUUUUCUAGGUGCUAUAAUCUGGAUUAUAAAACACCGGAACAAACAGAGAGCAUUCGUUCAUGAAGCAGUGUGUUGGAAGUGAGUCUGUGGGGAGCCUAGCAUGGCUGCUGUGGCUCAGGCUGUGCACAGAGGCGACGGCCUCAGUCACACCUGCAGCCGGGUCCUGGGGAAGUGGGCAGAAAUCAGCUGGAAAAGCAGGCACCUCUCGGGUGUGAGGGCCCUGUGCUUCCUUCCAGGGAGUGUGGAGAUUUGUCUGACAGCACGGAAAGUGGAAGGGUUUAGACGGAGCACGCACUGCGUGGGGAGGCUGGCUGUGAGGUGAGAGGGCACAGCAGGUAGGGUGGAUGAGGGCCAGGUGGGAGGCGUAGGCUGACUGUGUCACGGGUGGACGGAGUGGGGCUAUGGCUGGGGCCUUCCGGAACCAUCUUCCCUCAGGGCGCAGUGAGAGCAAACAGAGAAGCAGACCGGGGAGAUAGAGAACAGGCCUUUCCCUCAGCCAGCGUUUUCUGUUUUAUUUUAGGAGAGAAAGAAAUGAUUUGCUACAAAUUAAGGGAUGUAUAUUUUAUGAUUCCUUAAUUAGUACCACAAAAUUCUAUUACAUUAGAAUGCCAGUGAUUUGUAGAUUUUAAAAAUUAAUGGAGAAGCACAAAAUGUAAAUACUUAAAUAUAAUAUUUAAGAAAGUUUUUUAAAACUGAAAGUUACACUGACAAAGGGUACUAUUUGAGGAAAUUUAGAUUCAAUGAGCAUGACUGUUACUUGGCUUGAGGGACAGAAAUAAUGUACUCUCUCAAAAACUCUUUUCUUUCCUGUUUACAUGAUUUCUGGCUUUCACAGGGCAUAACAGGGCCAGCAUCCACUGGGGGCCCUCAUAACAGAGAGGGACCCUCUAACAAAAGCAGCUAUGUUAGCUUUCUGUUGUUGUGCAAUGCAGUGUCACAAGUUUUGUAGCUUAAAAGGCUUUAAAAAGUACCCAUUUAAUUAUAUAUAUCCACAAAGAUGUACCAUGAUGAUCCCAGGACUGCGGGAGGCUAUGGCAGGAGGGCUGGAAAUUCGAGCCCAGCCCGGACAACCUGGUGACGUAGUGAGAUCCUGUCUCAGAAUAAAAAAGGGCUGGAGACGCAGUUCAUUGUGAAGUGCCUGGGUUCGACCCUCAGCACACACCCCCAAGGAUGCAUUUUAAAUAAAUGAUGGCAUAACUAGAGUACGUAUGUACGUCUUACAGAAUUUAGAGCAACAAUACAGCACAGCUGCUUCAAGGUUGCUGUCAGUCAGAGUCUGAGCCACCACAGCUGAGCGCUAUGCAGGUCACUGAGGCUGAGGGACCCGGCCAGGCUGCUGACAGAACCGCAGAUGGAAGGCUGAGGUCCCCAUUCUCUUCUAGCUGUUGCCAGCUGUUCUCAGUUCCUCGCUGGCACCCAAGCUCCCUGGUAUGAGGCCUCUGUGGGCAGCGUGGGCAUCAGGCAGUGCAUGUCUGUGACUUCACUGAGGCCCAGUCCUUUUAAGAAGUCACCUAAUAAAGCCCAACCCAGCCGGGCCAUCUUUCUUCAGCGAACUAAAGCCCGCUGGUGAGAACUCCAGCCCCAGCGGUGACCUCCCUGCAUACCUGCAGACCCUGCUUCCUCAGAAGUACAUGGCCAACAAAUGAGCAUGAAAAAUGUUCAACACAUCUGGCCCUUAGAGAAAUGAAAAUUAAACAACAUUGAGAUCCCCUCUUACCCCACAAAGAAGGGCUAUCACCAAGAAAUCAAAUAAUAACAAGUGCUGGCGAGGCUGUGGGGAAAAAGCAGCCCCUUUACAUUGUUGGUGGCAAUGUGAACUAGUACAACCACUAUGGAAAUCAGUGUGGACAGUCCUCAAAAAAUUAAAACUAGAAAUUCCAUCCAACCCAGCUAUUUCCCUUCUAGUGUCUUCCUGAAAGAGUUAAAGGCAUCACAUUACAGCGACACAUGCACACCCAUGUUUACAGUGGCACAACUCAUAAUAGCAAAAUCUUGGAAGUGGCCUAAUGCCCAUCAACAGACAAGUGGG
rnacentral:lncRNA from 1 species